GACGAACGCUGGCGGCGUGCCUAAUACAUGCAAGUCGAACGCAGUGGGGACGGGUGAGUAACACGUGGGUAACAUCCCAUCAGAGGGGAUAACACUUGGAAACAGGUGCUAAACCGAUAUUGAUGGAUGGAACCGCGGUGCAUUAGCUAGUUGGUGAGGUACCGGCUCACCAAGGCCACGGUGCAUAGCCGACCGUGGAGAGUAAUCGGCCACAAUGGAACUGAGACACAGCCACAAUACCGACGGGAGGAAGCAGAAGGGAUUCUUGGGCAAUGGACAAAAGUCUGACCGAGCAACGCCGCGUAAGUGAAGAAGGUUUUCGGAUCGUAAAACUCUGUUGUUAGAGAAGCAGUAUCUAUCCAGAAAGCCACGGCUAACUACGGGCCAGCAGCCGCGGUAAUAG
rnacentral:rRNA from 1 species